rnacentral:miRNA from 2 species
ACAUUCAUUGGAGCAGGGACA